AGAGUGUUAUUUGGGUGAAAAUCUUUUUGUGUGAGGUUGUGAUAUUGAAGGCUUCUUUGAAGAUGCCCAAGAAGCCAAGAUAUUGGAAUUUUUCUUGUUCUGUGUCCAUUGGAAUGAGGAUAUAAUUUUGAUAAGAAAGCUGAAGGGAAAUGCUAGUAUGCUAUAGGUUUAAAUAAAGAUAUCCGUCGUGAAUAGAUUCAAAUUGUGCAGACCCAAUAUUUUCUUAUCGCCCAUCUUCUCGAUUUCAUCGUCUAAAAAUGAUUAAGGGGUCACUUGAAGUGUUGAAGUCAAAAACACAACGACAAAGAAUAGAUCAGGGGUUUAGAAUUUUGUUUCUAUAUGGUUUUAGGUUGAGUUAUAUAUGAAGUAAGUUUUUAUCUUUCUAAAGUUGUCAAAUCACAUCGAAAUCAAGAUAUUUUUGUCAGAUUAGUUUUAUCCCUCAUGAAAUAUAUAUCUUUGUAUAUUAAAAACUCUUUUAGUCAUAAAUUCAUUCUUAAUUUAUUGUCUAACUUAUAUAUUUUUCUUAACUUUGUUCAUAACUUAGUAAGUAUCAUUUUUCUUAUGAGCUAUCUUUUUUAAAAUUCUUGUGGAUCAUUCUUUCGUUUCGAUGUAUAUGAUCCUUUUGAUUUAGUAUGCAUGGAGGUGCAUUUUUAUGAAUAUAUUAUAAUUAAGACGUAUGAUUAUUUGUUCACGAUGCUUGAAUAUAUAUCAUGAACAUCAAACUCACCUUAUCUGUCAUUAGAUUAAAAAAACAAAUUAUUGAAAUUAAAUCAUUAUAUAGAAACAUAUUAGAUAUAAUUGUGUACUAACUAAUUCAAAUAUCAUGAACAUCAAACUCACCUUGACAGUUGCAGAUGAUAUAAAAUUAUACACGAUCACUCGAUCAACCAAUAUAAUUAAAUGAAUCACUUCGGAAAAGAAAAAGAAAAGACUCAUCAUUGUUCAUAGAACAAUUUUAAUGGAACUCGACAAAUAAUUCUGUUGUAGAACAAUAAUCUGCCUUCUUGAUAUUAUAAGAUGAAACUAAAAGAAUAAUUGAAGGUUUUUCAUUUUGAUUCCACUACAACAAUUUUGGGUAUUUACGACAGAUUUUUAACACUAAACAGAUUGUAGAUGGCCAAAUUAUGAUGGAUUUUUUCCGUCAUUUUUGCUCACGUGAAAAGUUCAAAAAUUAAUCGCAAGUACAUAUUUUCAUCGUAAGUUUUAUAUAAGUGGGUCCUAUCUGCCAAUAGAAUAAUAAAGCAACUUACGACGGAAUUUCCAUCAUUUUAAAUUCAUGGGCCCCAGUUUUAUUUAUUGAAAUUUAAAAAUAGGAGGAAAUAAAAAUUAAUUUUUAACAAUAAAUAAAGAAUUUAUGAUAAAAAUUCCGUCGUAGAGUAGAACUUACGACGAUUUAGUUACGACGGAAAAAAACAUAUCGUUCUCAUUUAUUUUUCAUUUUUAAAUGGCUAUAAUUAUAUAAUUAUGUGAACUUACGACGGUGUAGUUACGACGGAGUUGGAACCAUUUUAUUUUCAUUUAUUUUUUGUUUUUAAUCACCUAAAUAUGUUAACUUACGACGGUUUAGUUAUAAUAGAGCAUAUAUUUAUACCACAUAUACCAAAUUUCAGUAUGCUUGUUGCAGUUAUACGGUUCUCACAAAGUUAUUUCAUAUUUACGUUCAUGCAGUGUUUCAUUUUCUAGCCAUAUCCUCCGCUUCCACUCUCCGAUCAAUUUUACGAUUUCAAUUAGCACAUAUACACACAAAUACAUACAUCACUAUCACAGAUUUCUCUCCCUCUCCCUAUAUCUCUCUCAAAGCAUUAUAGAAAUCGAAUGGAGAUUAUUUAGCAAAAAAAAAAAAAAAAGAAAUCGAAUGGAGAUUUUGCGUUAUGUGUGACGUAAGGGGAAGAGGGGUGGAGAGGAAUCGAAUGGUAAACGACGAUGAGAAGGAAACGUUAAGAUUAAAGGAGAGUGUUUGUCUGUUUGCUUGGGGUUGUGUGGUUGCGUGUGUUGACGUCGGCGGUUAAAACAUUACGGCGUCAAAGACGGAGAGGGAUAUGCGACGAUGGUGAUGAAAGAAAAGAUGAAGGGAGGGGAAAGACGAUGCAAGGUGUGAGAUAGGAAAUGGAGCGGGAGUAUUUAUGUUGACAAUGAAGUGGAGCCGCCACGACCCUGAGAUAGUUGGUUGCUUUUAAUUAUUUUUUUGGUUAUGUAAAAUAUGUCAUCACAUAUUUUACAUAUUAAUAUUAAUAUGAAGUGGAAUCGAUUAUGUAUUGAUGAGUCUAUAUUUUACAUAUUAAUAUGUCAUGUAUCAGGAGUUGAAUUCCAGAUCUAUUAAUAUGUAUUGAAAUAAAAUAUGUUAGGGUUAAAAAAAGUUAUAAUGAAAUUAUAAAUAUUUUAGUGUUAUAAUGAGGUGUUUGUAUUGAAAUAGAAUAUGUUAAGCUUAAAAAAAGUUAUAAUUUUAUUUUCAACAUCAUUAUAACCUUUUUAUAAGAUAUUAUAUAAUAAUGUAUUGUAAUGAGUGGUUUUAGUAUUUAAAAUUAUUUAACAAUGUAAGGGGUAAUAGACCUUCAUAUGUUGUAGACUUUUUUUUUUAACGUAGGAACCCGCAGCCGCUACCCUCGCAAUAGCCUGCAAACUACGUGAACCAAGGUAAACCGCACCUAAGCGCGACAGGCUCUGAUCCAGGAGGCAUAAUCACAAAUUCUGCUCCGUUUGGGAGUCGAACCUGUGACCAAGAGGAUACUUGUCCCCUCUUUAACCAGCUGAACCAACCCUUGUAGACUUAGACUUGUACUUUCAGAGAAAGAGUAACAAACCAGAAAAUAUAACUAAAAAGUUGACUACAAAUUAUACCAGGGACGAAGCCAGCAAACAUCUGUAGGGGGGCCAAAUUUUUUUUUCAAUACAGUGAAAUUUUUCAUUAGCAUUGUAACCUUAAAUUUCGGUUCAUAUAUAAAAUUAAGUUUGGAUUUUAACCUUUUAUUUGAUAUAUAUAUUUUAAAAACUAAAUAUGUAAAGGUCCGAUUUUCGAACCCUUAAAAUACAUAUCAAAAGCGGCUAAAAUGAGAUAGUGGGAGAAGGUUAUUUGAUCUAAUUGUCAACAAAAAUAUUUAGCUAUUUCUCUUUAAAUAUAUUUAAGUAUAAAAUGAUCAGGAUACUCAUCAUAAACUCUAAGUUAUACAGUAAUCUUUAAUUAGCAAGUAACACACACUAAAUGAAAUUGUAUUUUGACAAUAUCUCAAAAACUAAAUAUUAUGUUUAUUAUACUUACUCCUUUUCAAAAAAAUAUAUUUAUUAUACUUAAAAAAAAUAUUAUGCUUAUUUAGAAGAUAACAAGUUAAAAUUUAAAUAAGUAAAAAUAUUACCUGGAUGAUGAAAUUUAAAUUGAAGAUGAGUAGAUCAAUAUUAAUAUUAAAUAAUAAAUUGAUAAUGCACGAGGACUAACUAUUCUAUGAAAAUGAAGAGGUGAAGUGAGGUAUAAGUUUCUUGGAUAAGACCUCCACCAAAGAUUCUUAUUUUUAAAGAAGAACCAUAUUAACAUUUAUAUUUAUCACAUAUCACAUUUUACAAAUUUUUUUUAAAUAGUAUAAUUGUAUAUAUAUAUUCAUAUUUUUGUUUAUUUUUAUUUUUAAAUUUGGUCUAAUACAAAGAUUAGAAAAAUCUAAGAAUUAAAACAUUAUUUUACAAUGUUAAAUAUUUCUUAGAAGGAACAAAUAUUUUUUAAGGGGGGCCAAAUUUUUAUAUUUAUAUAAAUAUAUAGAUAUAAUACAAUUUUUUUCAAAAUUAUAUAAUAAAAAUUACAAUACUACGAAAACCCUAGGAGGGGCCAUGGUCCCUUCUGGCUAGCUUCGUCCCUGAAUUAUACUAUAUUGACUUAUUACAAUAUAGUAUAUAUAGAGUAUAGAUUUGAUGGGAACCGAUCCCCUCAAAUAAAUUACAUGCAUGUCAUAUCAUAAGUGUCAUGUAUCUUUAGAUAAAUUUGUGUAAUACCCAAUGGUUGACAUCACAGUGAUUGAUCUGAAUUGUUCAACGAAUGUAUUAUAAUUUAUAUAAUUAUUAUCUUGUAGUAUUCUUUAAAUUUAUAGAACCUGGUCGUCGGAGACCUUAUAGUACUCCAUACAAGCUAGAGAAACAGUGAAGUGAUCAUACUCGUAUGCAAGCUAGAGAAACAGUCGUAGGUACACGCUAAUUACAACAAUCAUCAGUGUACAAUAAUAAUCUCAGAAAGUUGCAAGUAAAAUAUCUUUACAAUCCAGUACACAACAUAUAUAUUUCAGUCUUUUAACUUAUAAGCAUGAAGAAGAAACAGUGGUACUUAUAAAUAACAACGAAAAAGAACAUCAGGAAUUUAAACCAUGGAAACCUCCUCCUGGGAAUCCAGCUGAUCAUAAUCUUUGUGGAACACCUCAAGACGAUGAGCAAGCGAUGAUUUCCCGAUAGUCUCACCGUGAUAAGAUUUGCAGACGAAGUAGAUGAUGGUCUGGAUGACAAGUCCCAAGAGACUCAAUAUAGACAUUAGCAUAGCCCAAAGACAUGCAUGCAAUAUCUUUCCCCACACCGAAUCUCCACCCACCACACUGGCCUUAAACCCUAGGUCAAUUCCAAGAAAACAUAGGUUAAGUACCACCAAAACGGCAGCACAAAGUCCAGAAUUUCCCUUGAUCAAAUUUUUGCUCUUCUUCAUGGCUUGAAUUCCAUGGACGUCCUCUAAAACGGAUACGAUGUUCGCUAAUUGCCACACCAAGCUCAUAUACAGAAUACCCAACAAAAUUAUUCCUCCAAAAACUAAGAGGAGGAUCAUAACUGGAACUCCAGGGGUACUUGGUACACCAGAAGUAAUUACAACCAGAAAUACCACUAAAAAUAUUAUAAGUGAGACGCCCAUGAUGACCGCAAAAGAAAUAAUGAAAAUCCAGAAGAAAGUGAUUAAAAGUCCUUUAAGAACCUUGGGAACCACUUUCAUGACCUUCUUAUAAGUUGUUUCUUUGGCGCUGUAAAUGCAUGCAACGGUGAAAACAACGGCGGAUGUCGAAACGAGGGAAAGUAAUAUCGAAGAAAUGAAGAAGGCUAGCUUGAAUAGCCAAAACGAGGUCGUCUCGGAUGAGAAGAUAUUUGGAGGGUUGGCAUAUGUUUGAGAUUCCAUUUGAGUAUCAUCAGUGAAAUUUGUACUAGGGCUGAUGAUUUCAUUUUGUCCGAACACGAAUCCGGAGAUUUCGUUUUGCGACACGUAGAUGAAAGAAAGAGGGAGGAUAAGAGAGAGUGUUAUUUGGGUGAAAAUCUUUUUGUGUGAGGUGGUGAUAUUGAAGGCUUCUUUGAAGAUGCCUAAGAAGCUGAGAAAUCGGAAUUUUUCUUGGUCUCUGUCCAUUG
rnacentral:lncRNA from 1 species